AGCCACGCACUGAGCACAGAGCGAACUGUUCUUUUUCCUUUUACUAAAGAAUACUGUGUACUCGUUCAAGUGGCAUGCGCCUCUUUUUUCUUUGGGGGGGGGGGGGGGUCCCGUA